AUGAAUGCUAUUUUCUGGAAUGUGAGAGGUAUAAAUGCCCCUGGGAGGAAAACCCUAAUUGUGGAAACUAUUAGGAAACAUCAAACCUCAAUCUUGGGUUUCCAGGAAACAAAGAAAGAUGACUUCUCAGAUUUAUACCUUAAGUCUCUAGUAGGUAGUAAGAAUUUUUCUCGGCACCACCUCCCAUCAAAAGGCUCUGCUGGAGGUAUUUUGAUGGGAGUUGAUGCAGAUAUCUUUGAGGUCAUUUCUUGGUCUCAUCUUGAUUUCUCUGUGAGUUGUGUCCUCAAAUUAAAAAGUAAUGAUACCACUUUUAGAAUCAUUACUGUUUAUGGGUCACCCUAUGAAGAAGGCAAGGAAGCUUUCCUCUCUAAGUUGCAUUCCCUCUUCUUAGAGUGCCCCCAUCCUACUCUGACUGGAGGUGAUUUUAACCUUGUUAGAUUUGCUAACGAGAAAAGCAAUGGAGUAGUCAACCACAGGUGGUGUGACAACUUCAAUGCUUGGAUAGAGAUCUGGAGUCUCCUAGAAAUUAAGUUGGCCAGUAGAAAAUUCACGAGGUCCAACAAUCAGGUGGACAUCAUCAUGUCUACCAUAGAUAGGUUGUUCUGCAAUACUGAAUUGGAUGAGAUUUUUCCUUUAGCCUCAUGUAAUGCAUUACCUAGGUGUGGCAGUGAUCAUGUCCCCAUUAUCUGGGAAUCUGGAGUGGAACAAACUAUAAAAAGUAGUAGCUAUAAGAUGGAGAAAUGGUGGUUAAUUAGGGAGGAUUUCUCCAAAUUAAUCAGCUGA
rnacentral:rRNA from 1 species